UACGUAGGGUGCAGGCGUUAAUCGGAAUUACUGGGCGUAAAGCGUGCGCAGGCGGUCUUUUAAGUCAGAUGUGAAAUCCCCGGGCUUAGCCUGGGAACUGCGUUUGAAACUGGAAGGCUUGAGUGUGGCAGAGGGGGGUGGAAUUCCACGUGUAGCAGUGAAAUGCGUAGAUAUGUGGAGGAACACCGAUGGCGAAGGCAGCCCCCUGGGCUAACACUGACGCUCAUGCACGAAAGCGUGGGGAGCAAACAGG
rnacentral:rRNA from 1 species